rnacentral:rRNA from 1 species
AAAACUACGGUCUCAGUUCAGAUUGCAGGCUGCAACUCGCCUGCAUGAAGUUGGAAUUGCUAGUAAUCGCGAAUCAGAAUGUCGCGGUGAAUACGUUCCCGGGCCUUGUACACACCGCCCGUCACACCAUGAGAGUCGAUAACACCCGAAGCCUGUGAGCUAACCUUUUAGGAGGCAGCAGUCGAAGGUGGGGUUGAUGAUUGGGGUGAAGUCGUAACAAGGUACC